AUCUCUGGUUGGAGAUCCCUUUCUGGUGGAGUUUUUCCAGGGAGUGACCUUUGGAGAUGGGAUUUCUCAAGAAAUGGCGACUUACAUCACCAUCUUUCUCCAGCUGACUGCACCACUGAACUCCUGGUCAUCUUUGGCACAGCAGGAAGAGUCAAAGUCAGAUGAUGCUGAAGUGAGAGUUUUGCUGCCCAUGGGCGGAUUGUUCCUCUGAAAGGAUGUUAUGGAAUACAGCUCACAGUGUGACAGCUACCCUCAGGAUGGUGUUUUUUUCUUUUUCCCAAAUACUGAGCAAAUUUUUUGUAAAGCAUCUGAAAUAGUAUAGUAAAACUGCAUCCAGCUUCUACAGGAUUUUUCUAUACCAACCCUUCAUUUUGAAAAUUUCCAACACAACAUUGUCAACUUUCCUAAGAGUGAGGGUUCAUUUCUUAGACAUGAGCUGCAAAAAUGCUGUCUGCUUCUGUGGAUCUGCGUGGAAUGAACAUUUACCUUAGAUAACAAUCUUUUUCAAAUCCAUAGAUCAGGUUUUACCAUUGUUCUGUAGAGCAGGGGAGAUGGUCUAUCAAGUGAAAGUAGAUCUCACGAGUAACAAAAUGCAUUUCCAGAGAGAAUAAGAUAAAACUUCGUGACAACUUAGAAAUGCUCACCAGCAAAAAAUUCCAAACAUACAAAUAGUUUUCUCAGGUAGUGCCAAUUGCUUUGUCUUUCUAAGCCCAACUGUAGAACUCAGACUAUUUGUAAGCUGCUACAAAACAUGCUAUGCUGUGCCAUUGUUCUGUGAUAAAUUUCACUGGGGAAUUCAGGAAUUUGGAGUGUCUUUUCUUUCAAACAUUAUGGCAUAUUUUUGAUUGUGCCCCUGCUCAUAAAGUUGAAAUGUCUUUCUAUCUGAGCUAUUUAAGUGGGAUCCUUAUUACCCUGUGGCAGCCUUGGCGCCAUAAGCAUGCUGAGCUCAGUGCUUGUUGGGCACAGUGUGUUGGCUCGGGUGAGAAGCUCAUGUAUUUGGUUUCAGCUCAAAGGAGUAAAUGUACUCUUUUGUUCCACUGUUGAAUCUCUAAUAACAGAUGAAAAUGAAAUCAAAUGUUGCGAUGCCUAAAACUGUGACAUGACAUUCAUUCCUAGAAAAAGGAUCAAAUAAACGAUUUUAGGUAGACCCAAACCAAUAAAUUUUUAUACUUCACAAUGCAUUCAAAAAAUGAAAAGACUUUUUGGGUUUGGAUUUGGAAUGAUGCCAGUGCUUUGCUGUAAAAAUUGAGUAAACUCUGAAAUAAACUAAAAGUACAG
ensembl:lncRNA